CGUGCAGGCGGUUCGGUAAGUUGGAUGUGAAAUCUUCUGGCUCAACUGGGAGAGGACGUUCAAGACUGUCGGACUAGAGGACGGUAGAGGAAGGUAGAAUUCCCGGUGUAGUGGUGAAAUGCGUAGAUAUCGGGAGGAAUACCAGUGGCGAAGGCGGCCUUCUGGGCCGUUCCUGACGCUCAGACGCGAAAGCUAGGGGAGCAAACG
rnacentral:rRNA from 1 species